rnacentral:rRNA from 1 species
GGUGAGAAGUCCGGCUUGCUCGAUUGAAGCCCGGACGUUCUCGGAUGCGAGUGCCCAGUGGGCCACUUUUGGUAAGCAGAACUGGCGCUGUGGGAUGAACCAAACGACGGGUUAAGGGGCCCGAUGCAGGACGCUCAUGAGAACCCAUGAAAGGUGUUGGUUGCUAUAGACAGCAGGACGGUGGCCAUGGAAGUCGGAACCCGCUAAGGAGUGUGUAACAACUCACCUGCCGAAGCAAGCAGCCCUGAAAAUGGAUGGCGCUUCAGCGUCGACCCCAUACCCGUCCGCCGCGCCGGAGAUGCGAUCGCAUUAUGGCGCGGCGAGUAGGAGGGCGCGGGGGCGAGCGUGGAAGGUGCCGGGCGCGAGCCCGCCUGGAGCCGCCCCUGGUGCAGAUCUUGGUGGUAGUAGCAAAUACUCAAGUGAGAACCUUGAGGACUGAGGUGGAGAAGGGUUCCAUGUGAACAGCAGUUGAACAUGGGUCAGUCGGUCCUAAGGGAUGUCCGAAAGGAUUUCCGAAGGGGGGACUUUGGUGGAGGGGUCCCCCCCAUGACCGAAAGGGAAUCGGGUUAAUAUUCCCGAACCCGGACACGGAGAUCGGUCCCUCCGGGGACACGUGCGGUAACGCAAACGACCUCGGAGACGUCGACGGGGGUCCCGGGAAGAGUUGUCUUUUCUUUGUAAGGGUUCGGCUCCCUGGAAUCGGCUCGCCCGGAGAUAGGGAUGCUGAACCCGUAAAGCACCGCGCCUCUUGUGGUGUCCGGAGCGCUCCCGUCGGCCCUUGAAAAUCCGAGCGAGAGAUGGUGAUUUUCGUGCCGGCCCGUACCCAUAUCCGCAGCAGUC